rnacentral:rRNA from 1 species
UACGUAGGGACCAAGCGUUGUUCGGAUUUACUGGGCGUAAAGGGCGCGUAGGCGGCGCGACAAGUCACUUGUGAAAUCUCUGGGCUUAACUCAGAACGGCCAAGUGAAACUGUUGUGCUAGAGUGCAGAAGGGGCAAUCGGAAUUCUCGGUGUAGCGGUGAAAUGCGUAGAUAUCGAGAGGAACACCAGAGGUGAAGACGGGUUGCUGGGCUGACACUGACGCUGAGGCGCGAAAGCCCAGGGGAGCGAACGGGG